UGCGCACAGAAACCCAGCUGCACCCCCACCACAUAUAAUUUGUUUUUUUAUAUUUUACUGGGGGCGAAACAGGAUCGACAAAAGUGUAAAGAUUGCUCUUUUACUCGGUAUAGUACCACCGUUAUCGGACUAAAUGAGUAGUUGCAAAUGACAACUAUGCGGAAGCGCGUCUCGCUGCCUGAGGUGGUGUGAAUGCUUCAAACUAAGUCUUAAACCGUCGCAGGUUUAAGCGGGGUUCGAAGGCACCUGGAUACAGAAGCCAU
rnacentral:tmRNA from 1 species